GAUGAACGCUAGCUACAGGCUUAACACAUGCAAGUCGAGGGGCAGCAUGGUCUUAGCUUGCUAAGGCCGAUGGCGACCGGCGCACGGGUGAGUAACGCGUAUCCAACCUGCCUUACACUCUUGGAUAGCCUUCUGAAAGGGAGAUUAAUACAAGAUGUUAUCAUGAGUAAGCAUUUUCGCAUGAUUAAAGGUUUACCGGUGUAAGAUGGGGAUGCGUUCCAUUAGAUAGUAGGCGGGGUAACGGCCCACCUAGUCUUCGAUGGAUAGGGGUUCUGAGAGGAAGGUCCCCCACAUUGGAACUGAGACACGGUCCAAACUCCUACGGGAGGCAGCAGUGAGGAAUAUUGGUCAAUGGACGAGAGUCUGAACCAGCCAAGUAGCGUGAAGGAUGAAGGUUCUAUGGAUUGUAAACUUCUUUUAUACGGGAAUAAACGAAUCCACGUGUGGAUUUUUGCAUGUACCGUAUGAAUAAGGAUCGGCUAACUCCGUGCCAGCAGCCGCGGUAAUACGGAGGAUCCGAGCGUUAUCCGGAUUUAUUGGGUUUAAAGGGAGCGUAGAUGGGUUGUUAAGUCAGUUGUGAAAGUUUGCGGCUCAACCGUAAAAUUGCAAUUGAUACUGGCAGUCUUGAGUACAGUUGAGGUAGGCGGAAUUCGUGGUGUAGCGGUGAAAUGCUUAGAUAUCACGAAGAACUCCGAUUGCGAAGGCAGCUUACUAACCUGUAACUGACAUUGAUGCUCGAAAGUGUGGGUAUCAAACAGGAUUAGAUA
rnacentral:rRNA from 1 species